rnacentral:tRNA from 1 species
AAAGUAAUGAAGUAAGAUUACAUUUAGUUUCGACCUAAAAAUAGAGUUAUGUAGACUCCUUACUUUU